GCCCGCUGUGCACGCAGCCUCCUGCUGAUCAGUCAUUUUGGUGUGAGGGUGUCACGACCAUUAACGUAUUAGCUCUUUAUUAUAUAGGAUUAUGUAGAAUAUUCUCUUGAUGAUAACUCUUGAGAAUAGGUCUGAUGACUAACUCAGGUUAGGUACCCUGCCCCAGGCCACGGCUAGUAGAGCUAGGAUACAAUCCUAGGAACAUGACUCCUGACUCUUAACCAAUAUGUUCCUUUGUUACUUCUGCUGGUACAUUGUCCAGUUUGCAUUUGUGUUUUAAUUUUGCUAAUAGUAUCUUUUUAUACAGGAGCUUUAAGUUUUUGUGUGGAGGGACUAGGUCUUAUUUUUUAGUGUAAUGCCUGGGACAUGAUUGAUUCUCAAAUAUUGGUUGGACAAAUGAGAAAUAAACCCAUUAAUAAUCUGUUAACAGUGGUGAUCUUUUAUUUUAUGUAUUAUAUUUCCUCUUUUAAAGGGAUUAUCAAGGGCUUCAUAAAUAAUUUACUCUUUGCUUUUGAUAAGAUACAAUAAGCUUAUCUGUAUUAGCUUUUCUGGAAAGUCUAUGGAAGUAAUUACUGCUUUAAAAAUGAACAUGUGUUCUUAAACAAGCAAAUAUGAGCUAUGAAGAAUGUGUAUUAUCGACAGUGAUUUGAUUUGUAGAUUCAAGUAAAGUAAAAUAUUUGUUUUGGUUUUUGGAAUAAUUUGGUGGAGUUGGUUUUAGGAGUUUUAGAAAAUGGGAAGAUUUGGCCAUUGUUUUAAAAGCUUUUUGAAUAAAUUUUGGUUUACUUUAAGAAGAUACUUUAAAAGGGAAAACCCAGACUAAGAAAGCUGAUGUAAAAAGUUGUUAUUGCUUAAGGUUUGGGUAAUGGAGAGCAACUUCCCCAAAAGUGCAAUUUAAGAUUUUACUGUUUAGUGUUUUUUCUCCCGUUUCCUUUGGAGGUUGACUUUAGGCUACCUACUGGUCCCUGGUUAGUUUGGUUGAGGCUUGUAUAUCCGUUACUCUAGUCUUUAUAAGUGCAGAGACCCUUGGUAUUAAAUGGGUCUGUGUUUGAGAUUACAUUAGAGAAAAACACAAAUAGGUUUAUUUUCAUUUUUAUACACCCUGCACAAAAUAUACUACAUGGGAUCAAGUACUCAAAAAGUAGACGCUUGAAAAUGUUACCAUGUUAAUACUAAAAAAGCAAAAAAAAUGUUUUUGUAGUUGAAUGCUUGCGUUUCCGUAGCCUACUGGUUGCAGCCAGCCUUUUUUCUUCCUACUAGUCGUAUUCUUUUAGGUUAUGUUUAA